rnacentral:rRNA from 1 species
AGAGUUUGAUCAUGGCCAAGGAUGAACGAUGGCGGCUGCUUAGGUACUAGAGUUUGAUCAUGCUCUUCUCAUAUAGUGGUAGAUGGUAGAGUAACGUGUGAGGAUCUGCCUACAGGACUGGGACAACAGCUGGAAACGGUUGCUAAAACCGGAUGUGCCGAGAGGUGAAAUAUUUAUAGCCUGUAGAUGAGCUCGCGUCUGAUUAGCUAGUUGGUGAGGUAAGGGCUCACCAAGGCGACGAUCAGUAGCUGGUCUGAGAGGACGAUCAGCCACACUGGGACUGAGACACGGCCCAGACUCCUACGGGAGGCAGCAGUGGGGAAUUUUCCGCAAUGGGCGAAAGCCUGACGGAGCAAUACCGCGUGAGGGAGGAAGGUCUGUGGAUUGUAAACCUCUUUUGAUAGGGAAGAAGUUCUGACGGUACCUAUCGAAUCAGCAUCGGCUAACUCCGUGCCAGCAGCCGCGGUAAUACGGAGGAUGCAAGCGUUAUCCGGAUUUAUUGGGCGUAAAGCGUCCGUAGGUGGUUAUUCAAGUCUAUUGUCAAAGCCUGGGGCUUAACCCUGGAGAGGCGGUGGAAACUGAAUAACUAGAGUGCGGUAGGGGCAGAGGGAAUUCCCAGUGUAGCGGUGAAAUGCGUAGAUAUUGGGAAGAACA